GACGAACGCUGGCGGCGUGCCUAAUACAUGCAAGUAGAACGCUGAAGAGAGGAGCUUGCUCUUCUUGGAUGAGUUGCGAACGGGUGAGUAACGCGUAGGUAACCUGCCUGGUAGCGGGGGAUAACUAUUGGAAACGAUAGCUAAUACCGCAUGAAAUUGCUUAUCGCAUGAUAAUUGAUUGAAAGAUGCAAUUGCAUCACUACCAGAUGGACCUGCGUUGUAUUAGCUAGUUGGUGAGGUAACGGCUCACCAAGGCGACGAUACAUAGCCGACCUGAGAGGGUGGUCGGCCCCACUGGGACUGAGACACGGCCCAGACUCCUACGGGAGGCAGCAGUAGGGAAUCUUCGGCAAUGGGGGGAACCCUGACCGAGCAACGCCGCGUGAGUGAAGAAGGUUUUCGGAUCGUAAAGCUCUGUUGUAAGAGAAGAACGGGUGUGAGAGUGGAAAGUUCACACUGUGACGGUAUCUUACCAGAAAGGGACGGCUAACUACGUG
rnacentral:rRNA from 1 species